AGUAAUCGCGGAUCAGCAUGCCGCGGUGAAUACGUUCCCGGGCCUUGUACACACCGCCCGUCACACCAUGAGAGUCGGGAACACCCGAAGUCCGUAGCCUAACCGCAAGGGGGGCGCGGCCGAAGGUGGGUUCGAUAAUUGGGGUGAAGUCGUAACAAGGUAUC
rnacentral:rRNA from 1 species